rnacentral:rRNA from 1 species
ACUUAAAUUGAAGAGUUUGAUCAUGGCUCAGAUUGAACGCUGGCGGCAGGCCUAACACAUGCAAGUCGAGCGGUAGCACAGAGAGCUUGCUCUCGGGUGACGAGCGGCGGACGGGUGAGUAAUGUCUGGGAAACUGCCUGAUGGAGGGGGAUAACUACUGGAAACGGUAGCUAAUACCGCAUAACGUCGCAAGACCAAAGUGGGGGACCUUCGGGCCUCAUGCCAUCAGAUGUGCCCAGAU